GCAAUGCCGCGUGCAGGAUGAAGGCCUUCGGGUUGUAAACUGCUUUUGUACGGAACGAAACGGCGAGCUCUAAUAAAGUUCGCUAAUGACGGUACCGUAAGAAUAAGCACCGGCUAACUACGUGCCAGCAGCCGCGGUAAUACGUAGGGUGCAAGCGUUAAUCGGAAUUACUGGGCGUAAAGCGUGCGCAGGCGGUGAUGUAAGACAGAUGUGAAAUCCCCGGGCUCAACCUGGGACCUGCAUUUGUGACUGCAUCGCUAGAGUACGGUAGAGGGGGAUGGAAUUCCGCGUGUAGCAGUGAAAUGCGUAGAUAUGCGGAGGAACACCGAUGGCGAAGGCAAUCCCCUGGACCUGUACUGACGCUCAUGCACGAAAGCGUGGGGAGCAAACAGGAUUAGAUACCCUGGUAGUCCACGCCCUAAACGAUGUCAACUGGUUGUUGGGUCUUCACUGACUCACUAACGAAGCUAACGC
rnacentral:rRNA from 1 species